rnacentral:rRNA from 1 species
GCUCAGGACGAACGCUGGCGGCGUGCUUAACACAUGCAAGUCGAACGAUGAAGCCCUUCGGGGUGGAUUAGUGGCGAACGGGUGAGUAACACGUGGGCAAUCUGCCCUUCACUCUGGGACAAGCCCUGGAAACGGGGUCUAAUACCGGAUAACACCGGCUUCCGCAUGGGAGCUGGUUGAAAGCUCCGGCGGUGAAGGAUGAGCCCGCGGCCUAUCAGCUUGUUGGUGGGGUAAUGGCCUACCAAGGCGACGACGGGUAGCCGGCCUGAGAGGGCGACCGGCCACACUGGGACUGAGACACGGCCCAGACUCCUACGGGAGGCAGCAGUGGGGAAUAUUGCACAAUGGGCGAAAGCCUGAUGCAGCGACGCCGCGUGAGGGAUGACGGCCUUCGGGUUGUAAACCUCUUUCAGCAGGGAAGAAGCGAAAGUGACGGUACCUGCAGAAGAAGCGCCGGCUAACUACGUGCCAGCAGCCGCGGUAAUACGUAGGGCGCAAGCGUUGUCCGGAAUUAUUGGGCGUAAAGAGCUCGUAGGCGGCUUGUCACGUCGGGUGUGAAAGCCCGGGGCUUAACCCCGGGUCUGCAUCCGAUACGGGCAG